UCAGCCUCGGUCGUACAAGCCACUGUCGCUACAGCACCAAAAGCAACAAGCCCAGAUGAGAAAGGUAUGAAACCGCAGUGGAAAGCGAUAGAUUUCAAAUGGAUAAGGGAGAACAAGGAUGUUGUUGCUUGGGUAGGGCUUGAAAGGAGUUCUGUUAGACAUUGGUGGCUGGAUAAUAUAGGUAAGGCUUUUGAAGAAGGAAAAACUUAUGAAUGUAUGGGUUCUAGGCA